rnacentral:misc_RNA from 1 species
AAAUGUGAUAAGUAAUGUGAAUUGCAGAAUUCAGUGAAUCAUCGAAUCUUUGAACGCACCUUGCGCUCCUUGGUAUUCCUUGGAGCAUGCCUGUUUGAGUAUCAUGAAAUCUUCAAAGUAAAUCUUUUGUUAACUCAAUUGGUUUCUACUUUGGUAUUGGAGGUCUUUGCAGCUUCACACCUGCUCCUCUUUGUUCAUUAGCUGGAUCUCAGUGUUAUGCUUGGUUCCACUCGGCGUGAUAAGUUAUCUAUCGCUGAGGACACUGUAAAAGGUGGCCAAGGUAAAUGCAGAUGAACCGCUUCUAAUAGUCCAUUGACUUGGACAAUACUUUUAUGAUCUGAUCUCAAAUCAGGUAGGACUACCCGCUGAACUUAAGC